AUAUUCAGUUAUCAAAUUCAUAUAGUUAGAAAAAUAAUCAUGGUAUUUUUGCCAUAAAGCCAAAAAUAAUAAACAGUACAAAACUAUAUUAUAUGUAUACAUACCCAAAAAAUGGAUACAUUGAAAAUCUUUUGAAAUGUACGCAAAGAAGAUAAUCAAAGUGAGAUUCCGUGAGAUUAAUUGAGAUUAAUUUGAAAGAUUAUUGAGAAGAAAAAAUUAAAUUAUGAGUAGAGAGGGAGUACUCUUUUUCAUAAAUUUUUCACUUGAAGACAUGGAUUUUUGAAGCAGCAGCAGAGACUAGGACAAAGCAAGUUGGAUGGAACAAAACACUUGAAGUGCAACCAUCUUUGAUAAGAUAGUCUGCCUGACGGAGCACAGUCGGAGUUGAGGAAACCUUUGCGUUGAAGAUGUUGAUUCCAGCAGCAGGACCGCUGGAGCCACCAGCCACAAACACAUCACUCCUCGAAGGAUGCCAAUGGGCCUAUGGAAAUUGAGUUUUAAUAAAUUUAUAAUUAUUUACAAAUGAAUGUAUAGUUCUACCAUGGGUAAAUUGCUCUUCCUGGUGUCUGAGUUCAGGAUGACGCCUGAGAAGGAUUGGAAGGGCGCCAGGUUUGGGGCAUGGUCGUAGACGUAGAAGUGGUCCUUGCUGGAAGCGAGGAGGCGGUUGCCACCCUGCGGAGAAAAGAAGGCCGAUUCCACAGCUUCAGUGAUUGGCGUGGCCCUCUGACGCCCUUUGACUAUCCCACUGUCCACAGAUUUGCUGGUGCUCAUGCAGCGCAGGUCCCAGAUGCUCAUGAUUCCGUCGUCUGAAGCAGUCAGAACGCAGUUUUCUCGAACCACAUCCACUGAGUUGAUGGAGCCGUAGUGGCACUGGAAUUUAGACACGGCUUCUUCACGUGUGUCCAGACGGAGCAGGCAGCCUUCAGAAGAAGCAACUAACAGGACAGAAGGUUUUACCUGGGCGUGCCAGGUCAGCCAAGUCUCCUCUUCAAGAGCUGCGGAAAUAGAGUGAACUGCUCCCGGUUGAGGUCCAGACACUUGACAGUCCCAUCUCGGCUGCUGGAGAACAGGAAGUUGGGGUGGUCAGCCCCGAAGAGGAGGUGAUUGACCUGAUCUACGUGAGUGCCGAAGCCGAAGACCUGAGAGGAGGCCACUUCAGGGUCAUCCUCCUCUACCUUCCAGAUGCAGACGCUGCCGCUCUUGGUGCCGCUGGUCAGCAGCAGAGGAUUGACAGAUCUAUGGACGGCAAGAGCAGUCACCUUUGACGCUUGGUAGUUCAACAUCAGCUCAGAAAUUUUGCACAGUCCCUCCAGUUUUUCCUUCAUGGUCGAAAACUCCAUGCUUUGGAGUUCGCUAGAUUUCUUAGGAGAUUCUUCUAAAAACGAUUUUUUUUUUUUAAUUACAUAAUAUAAUGAAAUUAUUAUACCUUUUUGAACUUCUUUGGCCACUUCGAGGAAGAUGGGGACAUCCUCAGGUUUGCUAAAAGGCGCCACACAGUCUUUCAAGCUCUUAUCCUUCUUGUCCUGGACCUUUGAAGCGUCAGCCGCAGGCAAGAUUGCUUGGUCCUGCUGGGCAGCAAUUCGGUUUGACCUUGUUGACCUACCCGCCAAGGUGGAAGGGUCUCUUCCUGGUCUAACUUUUUCCUGUUUCCUCUUGAGGGUUGCUUCGAAGGCGGCUGCGGAUUCGAGCAGACCUGUGGUUUUGAACAUGAUGCUUUUCUCGAUGAUGUUGCGCUCCCGCAUCAUAUCCAGCUCGCUCCUGUCACCACUACUUCCUCCCUCGUCCAGUUUUUGCACCUUUGCUGGACGACCUCGUCCCCUGCCCCUCUUUUUCUGCAAACACAUUGAGUCAAUAAAUUAAAUAAGCAAAAAAGCAAGAAUUAUAUGGUAGUGAUAAUUAUAUUUUUUGGGAAUACCAAAACAAUAAUUUAUAAGGAAUAAUUUAUAGGGACAGAAAAUUCCUAUAUAAUUUUUUUUUAAAUUUAUUUAUUUAUAAUAAUGCAGACAUACCUCUGACUGAUUGUCCCCGGGUUCUAUCAUUUUGUUGUUGCCGUAGACCAAACUUUGGUCGCACUUCUCUUAUUUUUGUUGAAAGACGAAAAAAUCCACUGUAAGUAGAAUUAGCUUAUAAUAGAGGUCAACGUCCUUUCAAAUCCGAGAGGAAAUAGGAGAUUAGAAGGAUGAAAUUUUCCAAUUUGAUUAUUCUCGAUCACUUCGAAAUAAUUAUAGUCAAAAGUCGCAUGAAGGUAAUUUAUGAUUAACUCCAAAAUUAAAAAAAAAGUGCA